AAGCGGUGGAUGAUGUGGUUUAAUUCGAUGCAACGCGAAAGCCUUACCCACCUUUGACAUGGCAGGAAUCCUAAGAGAUUUGGGAGUGCUCGAAAGAGAACCUGCACACAGGUGCUGCAUGGCUGUCGUCAGCUCGUGUCGUGAGAUGUUGGGUUAAGUCCCGCAACGAGCGCAACCCUUGCCAUUAGUUGCUACGAAAGGGCACUCUAAUGGGACUGCCGGUGACAAACCGGAGGAAGGUGGGGAUGACGUCAAGUCCUCAUGGCCCUUAUAGGUGGGGCUACACACGUCAUACAAUGGCCGGUACAGAGGGUAGCCAACCCGCGAGGGGGAGCCAAUCCCACAAAGCCGGUCGUAGUCCGGAUCGCAGUCUGCAACUCGACUGCGUGAAGUCGGAAUCGCUAGUAAUCGCGGAUCAGCAUGUCGCGGUGAAUACGUUCCCGGGUCUU
rnacentral:rRNA from 1 species